rnacentral:lncRNA from 1 species
CAUAUUUGAGUUCAUGCUGCUGCUUGUCAGGAAUGAAAAUCACUAUUACAAUGAUGAAAUAAAGGGCAUUUAUGGAUUUUGUUUGCUUAUUUCUUUUUUAAUGGAUAAGAGAGUUCUUGAAUUUACAGGCAAAGACACUUUGGCCUUUCAUUAUGUACAUAGGUAAUAUCUCUGUUGCUGUUCGUGACAGCCAUUUUAACCAAUGCUUCAACUGGGUUAUUUGCCAGUGGCAUAGAAAGAACUUCCAUUGUGCUGAAGUUAUUUUUCCCCUCUUCAAUAAUGCAUUAAAAUGAUUAAUUUUGAUGAUUUUUCUCAGUGGCUUAUUUAAAUUAUAAGAUGCAUAGAAGAAAAGGGAUCUAAAACUUAAAAUGGUUCCUCUGACAAAACUGCCCUGAGCUCAAGAGAAAUUCUUACUAUAUCCGGAGAGAAUUCAGGGAAGCCAAGCUAGAGCCAAAGUAAUAGGUCAAAGUCAAGAUGAAAAACAGCAAGAGUAAGGAUCAUCAGAAACCCAGAGAAAGAGCAUUCGGGGUCCAGGUCAGCAGCAGACUAAAGGUGCAGAACAAGAGAUGUAACACUAGAAACAAAGCCCAUUCAUCCUAUUGGUUGGCAAAUGUGAAAGUGGAUGAAGAAGAUGGUAAAAGCGGAGUGAAAAACAUUUACACAAAGACAGUGGAUAAACAGGGACUGAAAAAAAUGGCACCAGGUUGUGGGAAAGAAAUUCCCUUUGGAAACAAAAUCUACAUUCCCACUACAAUGCGGAGCUGUGGGAGUUAGCACUUUCAGUGUUAUUAAGACAUCCUUCUUUUAAAUAUUCAAAUAAAAAUUAAAGGCAUUCUGGAGUUCCUGUCAUGGCUCAGUGGUUAACGAAUCUGACUAGGAACCAUGAGGUUGCAUUGCUGUGGCUCUCGCAUAGGCUGGAGGCUACAGUUCCGAUUAGACCCCUAGCCUGGGAACCUCCAUUUGCCAUGGGUGCAGCCCUAGGAAAACACACCAAAAAAGACCAAAAUAAAUAAAUAAAUAAAGGCAUUCCAUUUCAAAUGCCCUGCUUCACUAGGAAGUAAGCAGUUACAGCAGUGGUUCUUAAUAGAACCUCUUUAAGAGGUUUUUUGUUUUCCUUUUUUAAUGUCUUUGGGGCCAUAUUCUCCAAAGGUUCUGAUUUCAUAGGGCCUUCCUGGGACCCUAUGAUCUGCAUUUUUAUAAGUAACUCUCCCAUCCCACCGUUUUUAUUGUAUGUGAUUUGUUGUCCAUAACUGAAGAAGCGCUGACCCAGUAGUGCAACUUUGAGAAGGCUAGAGGAAAAAGACAACAGUCAUCAAAUUCUCUUCUUUUACUCUCAUUAUCUUUUCCUUUUAUUCAUUUUUCUUUUUAGUUUUAUUGCACCCAUAUGGAAGUUCCUGGGCCUAGGAUUGAAUCCAAUACACAGUCGCAACCCAGGCUGCAGUUGAGGCAACUCCAGAUCCACCAUGCUGAGAUGGGGAUCAAACCUGUGCCUCUAUAGCAAUGAGCCCCUGCAUUUGGAUUCUUAAUUUAUUGUGCCAUGGCUGGAACUCCUCUUUUCCAUUUCUUAUCCCACUUCUACUAUGUUCGUUAACCUUUCCCUACGCCUCUGAUAUAUAAUUUACUACAUGAGAACAAGGAAUAUGGAAUAAGCCUCCAAAGGAAUGUUCUAAACUGUUCUCUCUGCUUGAAACACUCUUCCCUGUUAUCCACCAGGCCUGGGCUCUUCCAUCCCCUGUGUUUCAGUCACCUCUCCCCACUUCAGGAGGCCUUCCAGAAAGCAAGGCUGGGGGUUUUCUCAGUGGUUAUCACCAGGCAGUUACCCCAUUGGUUUCUUGUCUGCUUCUUUCUUUAGGAUUUAAAAAUCUGCAAUGACAGAGACUGUCUUUGCUAUCGUGACACUGUACCCAGUACAGUGUCUGGAGGACAGGAGGGACUCCAGCAAUAUUGGAUAAUUAAAUGAAUAACUAAAUGAAGAUGAAACCAGUACAAAUUUACCCUAAUGAGAAAAUUAAAGAUCCAUGGAUGUCUAGGAGUCUACCAGUACCUCCUAACAAGAAUGGAAGUUGAGGUUCAUGAAGAGAAAUAACCUGUGCAAUGUCAUGCACUGCACUAGUGGUUUUGUUCACUGUUCCUUGGAGUUCUUAGACGAUUUCAAGACCCCCCCCCACACCUCUCUUUCUCUCAUUCCCCUAUAUUUAUUGAAUACUAUGUGCUCUCUCAAAGCUUUACAGAAAUUAUCUUACUCAAGCAUCUCAACAGCCUUAUUUUUACAGAUAUGCAAACUGAGUCUCACAGCAGAGAAUAAGUUGCUAGAGAUCAUGACUAGGAAGAGGCCAAUCUCAUCAUUCUGGGAUUGAAUUUAGGUCAGCACUAUCCAUUUGAUUUUUUUGCCAUGAUGAAAAAUUCUAUAUCUGUACUGUCUGGUACCAUAGCUAUCUGCCAUGUAUGGGUAUUGAGCACUUGCAAUUUGGCUAGUGGAACUAAGAAAAUAAAUUUUUCACUUUAUGUAAUUAUAAUUAAUUUAUAUUUAAUUUUGCAUAUUUACUCAUAGCUAGAGGCUGCCAUAUUGGCCCGCACAGGUCUACACUAUUUACAAUAUGUACAAACUUUGCACCAUCCCACUAUUUUCUCAAUUGGGUUCCCAUUAGGUACAAGUUUUAUUCAUUCGGUUCCUAAUUGAGGUAGAAAUACUUUAUUUAAGAGAGGGUCCUAGGCAGCAGGUGAAGGACCAGGGAAAUGAGACAGGGAAGGUGGAACACACCAAAGGCCAUUGGACUUCAUUUUUUCAGGAACACUCUUAUAGAAUGUUAUGGAAUCACCUCAUAAUUAUCCCAACAAGGGGUGAGGAGGUGGUCAUGUUCGUCCACCAAAUACAAAACCUCAUAGGUUAAGAGCUGGUCCUGGAGAAAGUUCUAGCCUCUUUCUCAUCAGAACAGUCAUGUCCCUGGGGCUAGACAAAGCCUUUGGGCAGAGAGAUGCAGGUCUCUGAGGUAGGGACUGUCCUGCAACACUGCAGGUGACUUCCAGGGAGGUCAGUAGGCCAUGGACCCAAGUAAAACUAUACUGCCUCUCCCUUUAAACUAAUAUGAGGUUCGUUUGUAUCAGUGUUUUAUCUGGGGUGGGAGGAAAGACACUUGAGAUUGUGUUGGCAAGAAAGGUUCUGCUACUUAAAAUUUAUUUAAAAAGAGAGAGAGAAAAGCUUCCAAACUAUAGUUCCAAACUCUACUCUUGCCAGUUUUCUUGACCACCUCAAUUACUAAAUUUUAUCCUAUUCUGUAUCAUUUCUAGCUUAGCAUGGAGCCUCUAAAUAGCCCUGCAGUCUAGACCUCAAAAUGUAGUCAUAAAAUAGCAGACCCUGGACUUUCUCAGUGGAGACAUGAAGCAACGCAAUAUUCCAGAAGUGUUUGUUUGUUUGGGUUUUAAUUCGCUAUAUAUAAAAAGCUUAGUGGUGACAAGAAAAGAUAAUCAGGAAGAACUUACACGUGGUUUUAAAAAAAUUAAAAAAUAGUUUUAAAGAAAAAGUAAAUGGGAAAGGAUCAAGAUGGUGGAGGAGUAAGACGUGGUAUUCACCUUCUCCCACAAACACAUCAAAAUCAAAAGAAAACAAACAACCUCUUACAUGUAGAGCAAUUUGCACAGAACAUCUACUGAUGGCAAAAGACCGUAAACCUCCAAAAGGGGCAAGAAACCCUCCAUGUAACUGGGUAGAACAAAAAAAAAAAAAAAAAAAAGAGUGUGAAGAAAGGAGUGAGGAUGGGACCUCUGGAAGAGAGCUGCUACAGAGGAAAAGAACCCACACCCUGGGAAGCCACCUAACCAAUGGGGAGAUCAGCUGAGACAAAGGGAUGUCAAAGUCAUGGAGAAUAGCACAGUAGUAGGAUUGAGGAGGGCAAAGCAGAGUGAGAGCCACACAAAUCAUCUGUACCACCACCCCUGAACACCACAGCCUGAGAUGCUCAGGCAGGGGCUGGGUGUUGAGACUUAGAUUCUGGAGGUCAGUUCCUGGGAGAGGACUAGGGUUGACUACGUGGAGACGGCCUGAGGGGCUAGAGAGCAGUUCUCCAUGGGCUGGGGAGCAAAAUGCCACAGCUAAGGUAACUCCAGAGGAGGUCUGGGCCCACAGGAGAAGCAAGGUGCCAUUGUUGGAGAGGCAGAGAAAAGGAGGGGGGUACCACCAUAGGAAUAUCUUUCCCUGCACCUACAUGGAGUCUCAUAGGGCGGGACACCUCUGGCACAGGGUACGGGUGGUGAGAUGCCACUUUCUCGUGCUAAGGGUGACUGGGCACCUCUUGUGUGGGCUCUAGGUGGUCAGGCAGCGCUGGUGUGGGCUAAGGGCAGCAGGUGGCUAAGAGGUAUGUGGCACUUCUUUCGUGAUCUACAGUCGAUAAGGACAAACCACAGCAGUCAUCUCAGACACCAUAGAGGGGCAUGGCCUGCCACCACUAGGGGCCUGUGAACAGGUACCACCUGUGGCCCCAGUCACCUCAAAGAUUAGCAAAGAAGAUGUCACUGCAACCAAGCACCUUUUGUUGCUGUUGCUCCCCUGGGAACACACCCGCCCUGCUUCUGCCACUACCAAAUGCUACAGGCACCUCCUAUACAUGGCUUAUCAUUGUCACUUCCCAGGGCCCUGCAUCUAGGAGCAGUCAGUGCCACCUUCCCACAGGUCUUUGCUGCUAUCAAGGGCCCAGCAAUUAGGCACUGGCUACUAGCCCUGCCCAUUGCCUCCAUGCCCCCUGAAGCAGGUGCAGCACCCUAAAAAAUAAAAAGUAAGCCCUAACAAAAUACGCAGGGGAACUCAUACACACACACACGAAACUAAAGUAGUAGUUUUCCCUAAAUUCACAGAAUAAGAAAUAUAUAAGCAAAAUGAAGAGGCUCAGGAACUAUUCCCAGUUAAAAGAACAGGAGAAUUCACCUGAAGGAGCAAGUAAUGAAAGAGACCUCUGCAGUCUAACAGGCAUCGAGUUCAAAAGAAAAUAGUGAAAAAAACCUAAAGAAUUAAGAGAAAAUAUAAAGAAACUAAGAGUGGAUAUGAACAGUAAUGGAAAUUACUUUAGAAAUAAACUAGAAAAUAUAAGGAGGAGCCAAGAAAAAUUAGAAAAUUCAUUUGCAGAGAUGCAAGCUGAGUUAAAGGCACUAAAGAGCAGAAUGAAUAAAACAGAGGAAUGAAUAAGUGAUUUGCAAAAUAGAAUAAUGGAAAUCACCCAACCAGGAUAGCAGA